GUAAAACUUUUGAGUCAUGUGAUCUAGCUCUGUAGCUGGGGGAGACGACAUAAAAUUAUUACUUACAUACUUCUCCACCAAAACAAACCCAGAUCCGCAGAAGAGAGAAACAAACCGGAACUCGAAGUCCUGUGUGAAUUAAUUACCAGCCUGCCAUCUUCUGAAAGCCAAGUGUCUUCUGUUCUGGGAAAAUGCUUUAAUAUCUGAGAAGUCAGUGAGGCCUGGAACGGAGUGAGAAAUCAAGCCUUCCUCCCAGACUCCCACCCUGUGCUCUCUGGUGCUCUGUGGAUCCUGGAUGCAGAUCCAACCACUGUCCCAUUUACUGUGUGAUUUGAGAGGGUCUGCUCUGUCUUCUGGUUAGGCCCCAAGGAUCUUACCGUGAGGUACUCAGGCUGUGAUUUACCAAGGUUAUAAGCCAUCUGUGAAGUAUAAGUACCCACAGCAGUCAUUCAGACUGCUACUUUACACAACAGUGACAGUGUGCUGUGUUUAUGCUUGUGAUUAAAGGUGACUUUAAAGAGAAUAUUUGAAACAAAAAAUAUCAAAACGAAUAAACAGUAUAAUCCUA